rnacentral:rRNA from 1 species
UCCUGGAAACGGGUGGUAAUGCCGGAUGUUCCACAUGAGCGCAUGCGAGUGUGGGAAAGGCUUUUGCGGCAUGGGAUGGGGUCGCGUCCUAUCAGCUUGUUGGUGGGGUAACGGCCUACCAAGGCGUUGACGGGUAGCCGGCCUGAGAGGGCGACCGGCCACAUUGGGACUGAGAUACGGCCCAGACUCCUACGGGAGGCAGCAGUGGGGAAUAUUGCACAAUGGGCGCAAGCCUGAUGCAGCGACGCCGCGUGCGGGAUGGAGGCCUUCGGGUUGUAAACCGCUUUUGUUCAAGGGCAAGGCACGGUUUCGGCCGUGUCGAGUGGAUUGUUCGAAUAAGCACCGGCUAACUACGUGCCAGCAGCCGCGGUAAUACGUAGGGUGCAAGCGUUAUCCGGAUUUAUCGGGCGUAAAGGGCUCGUAGGCGG